AGCAGUAGCCGCGGGAAUACGAAGGGUGCAAGCGUUAAUCGGAAUUACUGGGCGUAAAGCGUGCGUAGGUGGUGGUUUAAGUCCGUUGUGAAAGCCCUGGGCUCAACCUGGGAAUUGCAGUGGAUACUGGGUCACUAGAGUGUGGUAGAGGAUAGUGGAAUUUCCGGUGUAGCAGUGAAAUGCGUAGAGAUCGGAAGGAACAUCUGUGGCGAAGGCGACUAUCUGGGCCAACACUGACACUGAGGCACGAAAGCGUGGGGAGCAAACAGGAUUAGAUACCCCGGUAGUCCCUGUCUCUUAUAC
rnacentral:rRNA from 1 species